CUCCAUUUGGGGCCCUAGCUGCUUUGUGGGGUCUGUGACAUCAGCCCUUGUGAUGAUAAUGGAUGGGCCUCACACAGGGGGCACUCCUUCCUUUGCCAACUCAUACCAGCUUCCAGAGAGGAUUGAAGCUCUUGUUCCCUUAGGGUGGGGGCAGGAUGUGGGCCCAGAAUUGGACCCAAGACAACAGUCCCCCUCCCAGGCUGAACCCACUGCUCAGUGUACCUUCCAAACCCAAGCUAUGACCUUCCUCUCUCCAAAGCUCCAGAAAAGGAAAGGAAUCUGAACAUUGAGAUGCUUUUCUGGCCCUAAACAAUCCUCCCAUUCUCUAGGCUCAAUGAUGGGUCUAUUCCCUCCUGUAAAUGGGUCUCGUAAUCUUCAACUUUUACCUUUGCUUCUAAGGGUAAUUAAUUGGAUCUCCCUCUUGUUCUCCCCACACACUCCCCUCUCUGUUACAAGGCUCAGGUUAAGGUGGCUUUUUUUCUGUUCUAUGAGGUGCUUAUUUUUAAAGCUGGUGGACUAAGGCCCUUCCCUCCCCUGCAAAUCCCUUCUCCAGAGAAGCCCACUAGGGGAAAUGACUUCCACAGACACUGGAAAGGGGCUCAUGACUAUGCCAGCUAGAGGGUUUUUAUUUUUUUAUUUUUUUGGUACUGGGGAUUGAACUCGGGUCCUUCCGCUUGCGCAGCAGGUGGUGAAACCACUGAGCUAAAUCCCCGGCCAGCUAGAGGCUUUUUAGAUCAUCAGUUCUAAGUGACUAGGUCACUCCCCGCCCCCUCCUCCAAGUGUGUUUCCAAAGAUUUAGAGAAGAAGGAGUUUUCAGGGAGCACUCAUAAGAGCAAAGUGGAGGGUUGAGUGUGAUCUGGCUGGUAGACAGAAGAUACAAAGAUGCCAAGGGGACAUAGGACAAAGUAACAAAAAACCCAACUCAGAAAAGGACAUUUACUGACUAAACAACCAAAGAAGUAUUAUGUACCUGCCUAUCAGACUGACAAAAUUUUUAAAGUCUGAUGUUAACAAUCAUUGGUGAGGAUGUGAAGAAACAAGACCUCAUGGUGAUGAGAAGAUAAAGAAAUACAACUACUUUAGAAAGCCAUUUGGUGAUGCAGAUCCAAAUGCCUUAUCUGUAAUUCAGAAACCCAGAAAGCUCUGAAAUCUGAAAGUUCUUUCUUAACUUAUUUGGUGGCAAAACUUGACCUGAUGUAAAAAUACAUGUCUUCAUUUAUCCCACUUAAUGUGGAUAUUUAUACUUCUCAC
rnacentral:lncRNA from 1 species